GGCUCGGCAGCUUAGUUGGAAAAGCACUUUCUUAGCAAAUAAUGAUUGUGAGUUCAAAUCUCAGCUGAGCUG
rnacentral:tRNA from 1 species